rnacentral:sRNA from 1 species
GCUCACGCACUUCGAAAAAUGGUGAUUAGAGGGUGCUCAUCCUCUUGACCUCAUCA